rnacentral:rRNA from 1 species
UACGUAGGGUGCAAGCGUUGUCCGGAAUUAUUGGGCGUAAAGAGCUUGUAGGCGGUUUGUCGCGUCUGCUGUGAAAUUUCGGGGCUCAACCCCGAACUUGCAGUGGGUACGGGCAGACUAGAGUGUGGUAGGGGAGACUGGAAUUCCUGGUGUAGCGGUGAAAUGCGCAGAUAUCAGGAGGAACACCGGUGGCGAAGGCGGGUCUCUGGGCCGAUACUGACGCUGAGGAGCGAAAGCGUAGGGAGCGAACAGG